AGCGGCGGACGGGUGAGUAACGCGUGGGUAACCUGCCCUGUACACACGGAUAACAUACCGAAAGGUAUGCUAAUACGAGAUAAUAUGCUUUUAUCGCAUGGUAGAAGUAUCAAAGCUCCGGCGGUACAGGAUGGACCCGCGUCUGAUUAGCUAGUUGGUAAGGUAACGGCUUAUCAAGGCGACGAUCAGUAGCCGACCUGAGAGGGUGAUCGGCCACAUUGGAACUGAGACACGGUCCAAACUCCUACGGGAGGCAGCAGUGGGGAAUAUUGCACAAUGGGCGAAAGCCUGAUGCAGCAACGCCGCGUGAGCGAUGAAGGCCUUCGGGUCGUAAAGCUCUGUCCUCAAGGAAGAUAAUGACGGUACUUGAGGAGGAAGCCCCGGCUAACUACGUGCCAGCAGCCGCGGUAAUACGUAGGGGGCUAGCGUUAUCCGGAAUUACUGGGCGUAAAGGGUGCGUAGGUGGUUUCUUAAGUCAGAGGUGAAAGGCUACGGCUCAACCGUAGUAAGCCUUUGAAACUGGGAAACUUGAGUGCAGGAGAGGAGAGUGGAAUUCCUAGUGUAGCGGUGAAAUGCGUAGAUAUUAGGAGGAACACCAGUUGCGAAGGCGGCUCUCUGGACUGUAACUGACACUGAGGCACGAAAGCGUGGGGAGCAAACAGGAUUAGAUACCCUGGUAGUCCACGCCGUAAACGAUGAGUACUAGCUGU
rnacentral:rRNA from 1 species